ACGGGUGAGUAACACGUGGAUAACCUACCUAUAAGACUGGGAUAACUUCGGGAAACCGGAGCUAAUACCGGAUAAUAUUUUGAACCGCAUGGUUCAAAAGUGAAAGACGGUCUUGCUGUCACUUAUAGAUGGAUCCGCGCUGCAUUAGCUAGUUGGUAAGGUAACGGCUUACCAAGGCAACGAUGCAUAGCCGACCUGAGAGGGUGAUCGGCCACACUGGAACUGAGACACGGUCCAGACUCCUACGGGAGGCAGCAGUAGGGAAUCUUCCGCAAUGGGCGAAAGCCUGACGGAGCAACGCCGCGUGAGUGAUGAAGGUCUUCGGAUCGUAAAACUCUGUUAUUAGGGAAGAACAUAUGUGUAAGUAACUGUGCACAUCUUGACGGUACCUAAUCAGAAAGCCAUGGCUAACUACGUGCCAGCAGCCGCGGUAAUACGUAGGUGGCAAGCGUUAUCCGGAAUUAUUGGGCGUAAAGCGCGCGUAGGCGGUUUUUUAAGUCUGAUGUGAAAGCCCACGGCUCAACCGUGGAGGGUCAUUGGAAACUGGAAAACUUGAGUGCAGAAGAGGAAAGUGGAAUUC
rnacentral:rRNA from 1 species